UACGUAGGGUGCAAGCGUUGUCCGGAAUUAUUGGGCGUAAAGAGCUCGUAGGCGGUGUGCCGCGUCGGCCGUGAAAACCUGCAGCUUAACUGUGGGCUUGCGGUCGAUACGGGCAUCACUGGAGUUCGGCAGGGGAGACUGGAAUUCCUGGUGUAGCGGUGAAAUGCGCAGAUAUCAGGAGGAACACCGGUGGCGAAGGCGGGUCUCUGGGCCGAUACUGACGCUGAGGAGCGAAAGCGUGGGGAGCGAACAGG
rnacentral:rRNA from 1 species